rnacentral:misc_RNA from 1 species
CGCUGCCGUCAGUGCCGCGAGCGACGCCGGCGCACCAACCCACCUGCCGUCCGCGCACCACUCACCACCAGUGUCGUGACCUGUUUUGGAACUAUAAACAAUACUAUACAGUGCUAUGUGCCUGAAUCGCCACUGCCGGCGAGUGUUUAGAAAACUAUUGUGUUGUGACAAGAAUUGCUUUUACUUUAACUUGUGCGGUUGAGAAGCCAACCGGCGGCUUCGCGUCACUUUUCAAUUCGGAUCAAAGGUAGCAGGCAGAAGAUGGCGAUGAAAGAGUGGCUGCAAUGGCUGCCCCCGCCGCGGUCGUUACUGGCUCUACUGCUAGCGAUUGCGGGGUUCAGUGGCCGGUUGUUCGCGUCUCACGUCACUCACUCGCCGACGCUGCUCGUCGACACCUGUCACUCCCUCUGCAGGCUUGUCGGACUCAUCACUACAGUUCUUGCUUAUAAAUACGAACGAGCAGACGAGAACACGGGCCGCGAGGGCCGCCUGCGCAACACAUUCGGCUGGGCGCGCAUCGAGGUGGUGGGACGACUGUCUGUGCACGUGUUGUUCGCGUCGUUUGCGCUCGCGCUGGUGGUGAACGCGCUGCAGCUGGGCGUACACUCGUCGCACGGGCAGCCGCCCAGGUACCCGCGCAUCAUCGUCGGCUGCGCCGUCAUCGGGUUACUGUUGUACGCCAUUAACUACAUGCUGCUUGCUGGUCGCGAGUUGAGCUACAGCCGGCGCCUGAGCAUGACGGAGGGCGGCGGCGUGAUCCUCAAGACCGGCGCGGGAGAGCCCAUCCUCGCGCAUGCGCCCACCGACAUCGCCAGCAGCCUGUUUGUGAUGGGUGCUGGUUUAACGGCGGAGUGGGAGCCGGUAGCGGCGCGCAUCGCAGACCCCGCGCUCUCGGCCUGCGCCGCCAUUAUUCUGGUCAUAUUCAACUAUCCAUUCAUGCGAUCAGCGGGUCUGGUACUGCUACAGACAGUGCCGGAGGGUCUGGGCGCGUGCGAGCUGCGCGCGGCAGCUCUCAAGGUCCCUGGCGUGGUCGCCAUCCACGAGCUGCACGUCUGGCAACUACAUCGUGAUCGGGUCGUCGCUACUGCUCACGUCGCCUACGGCUCGCAUGAGGAUUAUCGGCGAAGUUCUGGGCUGGUGUGCAAUGUGUUCAAACGUCACGGUAUUGGGUUAGUCACGCUGCAGCCAGAGUUUGCUUUCGCCUCCUUAGUGGGUAAAACAGGAGCAGGAGCAGAGGAAGAAAAGAAGCAACUGGUAGAAUUUGCAAACCUGGCAUGCCCAAGUCCUUGCGCCAAGGAGUGCAUCGCGCCUCGGUGCUGCUUGCCCCCUGGCAAGCCACCCAUCACCCGUGUCUAAGAGUUCCAAGGCCAAAAUACAAAUACGUAUGUUUAUCAAAUUCAAUCAAGGGAAAGAGGAAGACGGGGGGGGGUGCCCCCCCUUCCCUUCCUUUCCUUUUGUAAGAUGAACAUCUUCAAUUAAGGGAAAAUAUCUAAAUAUUAUGACUCGGCGAUGGGUUGCGAAACUGGGGUUGCUGGGUUCUCACUCGCUCCGGCUUGGCAAGAACUACGGGUUCAUCACGGCCGAGUCAGAAUGUUUCGAUCUGUGAGGUUUCCCGAAACACGAGUAAGUGCAAAAACAGAAAACAAUCACGUAUCUUCUCUUCAACUAGUAUCCACGGAACAGCUGAAUGACCAUACAAAAGAUAGUUUAACUUCUUGCCUUAAUUUUACGCUCAAUAUUUUGUGCCACAAAGUGACUUAGAUUAUCGUCUAUUAAAUCCAGUUGAGAUUUGAUCCACCCGCGUUGGUGCCGAUUCUUAAAUACAAACAUAGUUACUAGUUCUAAAAACCAGCUCUAUCUAUUCCUUGGAGUUAUCCACCACUUAUCAUACCUAAAGAACGACACUAUUUCUGAAAGUAGUGCUCUCUCUCUCUUUAUUUAAGAGCUGCGCUCUUGUCGGUGGAGUAAUCGCCAUUCCUCUCUUUUUCCCGCCAAAACCACCUCCUGAUACGACACGACCUGCACCUUCUCUUUUUUUAUUAUUUUUCUUCUUGUGUGCUCUAAAGCUGUCAAAAUAAAAUAACAUUUUCUUCGCGAGAAUCGGCGCCAUAGCAUAGAUAUACUCGUAUAGAAUAGUAAGUAUUACCAAAGAUGUACCAUUCGAGUGUCGCGGCAACGAGGAGGUUUCUAAUCGUAGCGGGUAAUGAUACCCCGCUCCGGCGAGUGAAAGUAAUAAAUAAAAACGGCGUCAAGCCACCACGCUCAGUGCUGUGCCGUUCCCGGGAAUUUUCCCAUUUUGGGAAUGUUCCCUGGUCUUAUCUGCCUAAAGGUUAGGUAAUAAAGUUCUUUUUACGGCUUUUUGUUGCCGGGAACAUGAAUUUUCCCAUUUUGGGAACCUUUAGGCAGAAACUGCACAUAGAAAAAGCCGCAAAAAGUGCUUUAUUAGCUAACUCUCUCCAUUAAUAAGACUAGAUAAGACAAGAGCACAAGAAAGAACAAUUUGAAAAAGAAAAGCAGCUCUUUACUAUUAAAAAGUUUAUACAACGGGAACAUUCCCACUUUGGGAAAAUUCCCGGGAACGGCACGCCACUGCAUGCUACAUUAUGUCACUACACCGCAUCUCUCAAUGGACAAUUGUUGGGACUAACAGUGCAAUCAGUUAUCUCAAGUUUAUACGUCGGAUAAUGAACGUAUUGUUAAAAUACAAUGGCCUUUAUUUCCGCAAAGACAGCCUUUAUAUGGACAGUUCGAGGCGUGAUACGUAAGUAGCGAAUGAUACAUUAAGUGUGACAUUUAAACUUAUAGUUAGUUACAGUCUAAAUACGUAGUACCUUGUUUAAGCUAAAGCUCACUGCACAUAGAGGCAGCACCGGGUGCGUCCCCAGGGUUGUUUAACAUAAUGGUAUAAGAAAACCAGGUAUACUCAAUGUAGUGUAUUGAUAUUGCUAUCCUUGUCUCGGGCGCAUACGUCAUCUGAAUACAGAGCAAGACAAACAAUCAGUCAAUGCAGGACGGUCUGCCUGUACAGAGUGAUGUGUUGGCGAGCCAAAUCAUGGCAGUAUACAAAAGGUGUACUCUACACUCAAUCCCAUGACAAGCCGCCAUUGCUAGCCCUUUGAUGACGUAAGUGUUACCAUUAAAUUGGUAUCUCCAACAUUCUAAGGACUUUAAUUUUAUUAUUGAAAAUUAAGCGAAUUACUGAGUACAAUUACUAUCACUUGUCACAUAUAUAAAAAACAUUAAAACUGUAAGGAAAUGACUACUACUUAGUAUUAAAUUUCAAAAUUAAAAGCAUCAGUUGUGGGUAAUUUUUUUUUUUACGAAAUGGGAAUGCAGGGUCGGAUGAUGUCAGCUGGGCUAACCUUGAAAUGUUAGCUGUAACUUUUGAGCAUACCAGCCGCGUCUGCAUAACAACCGCGCCGCGGCGCGAAUUAUAUUGAGUGUAUCGACCAACAGCCGUUUGACGUCCAUCUACGUAGAUAGCAUUCGUAUCGUUUAUUGGUCCAAGCGCUCGAUAUAAUUCGCACCGCGCGCGGCGCGUUUGUCAUGCAGAUCCGGGUGGUUUUCUUAUACCAUGGUUUAACACAGGAAUCCGCUGAGAUUCGGCAUGAAACCGUUACCAUCUUUGUGUACUGGGCUUAAGUAUACCAAGGGGGUUAAAAAGGCCACAUAGAAGCAAUUCGUCUAAAAAUCAAUAUACUGCUAAAUUACAUUUGCACAUAUAAAAAUAACUGCGCAAUGCCAACAAAUGACAUAUAGAAAUAUUACUUUUUUAGAUGAUUUGCUUCGAUGUCGUCUUUUUAACCCCCAAGGUACGCAAAUAUAAACAAAUAUUACCGGUAAACUUAACAGCUUAUCCUUCUGUAAUGGAACAACGUAACAAUUGAAAACAGCUCAGAAUGUUUUUUUAAUUGCUCAUUUUUAACACCCGACGUUAUGCGGAGAGGUGUUAUAAGUUUGAUUUCUUUGUCUAUCUGUCUGUUUGUCCGCGCCAUUGUAGCUCCAAAACGGAUCGUGCUAUUUGGUUGCAGUUUUUUUUGUUUGAAAGUUGGUAUUUGCGAGAAGGUUCUUAGACAUGCCUAAAGGAUCCAUGGACUUAUGAUGACCAGGCAGUCAUAGGAAUUCGACAAACAAUGACCGAGUAGCUUUUUCGAAUUGUUUUGAUUGUAAAUAUCUAAGUCACAGCAAAAGGCCUUAGCCAAGUUGCAAACGAUUGUGACAGUUGACAUUUUUUUUUGACAUGACUUACAUUAAAUUUGCCGCAAAUGGCAUUAACUACAUGUCCGGACAAAUGGGCAGCGCUGAGAGCUUUCACCCGGUACCAAAUUUAAGACAACAGGCCUGAGGGUGUCCAGUUGGGCGCGAACCUCGACUCAGGACGUCAUCUGAAAGGAUAAUAUUUGGAAGAAUUAAUCGACCCUAGCGGGUCGAUAGCGAUAGGCGCUGAAUGAGGGAUAUCGUCGACCACGCCGGCGGGGUCUGUCGGACAGUCGACAGUGACAGUAAUAAAAAUGUAUAAUCGUUUGCAACUUGCCUAAGGAACCUGUUUAUACUUAUAGAUAUUAAGUUUAUUAAUGUGUUGAUGUCUUUGUUCAUGUAUACAUACAUAUACCUAAACAACUAUGCUUUCCUUACUAAGACGACGACAACCAGCGACAAGUAAGUAUAGUUAGUGCCCUAUGUAACUUCAUAGAGUAAGGAAUGUUACUAAGAAUAGAACGGCAACUCUCCGCUCCCCACCAGCGGCUGACCUAAGUUUACCUCACCCCAUCGAACGUAGUCUUUAAUCGUAUGGCGUCAGACGUCACACACACAGGUGCGCGUGUACAAUACCGUCGAUGUGUAGUAUUACACAUAAUACGAGGUGUUUUGUAUGAAGUAUCCGGGGUGUGGUUACUUAUGUGUCUGGUCUUAAAAUGGUCAGGGCACUGACUGUACAAACAAUAGAAACUGACUAAGAGCAUUUAAGAUACUUUUAUAAUACUUAAUAGUGUAAUUUCAAAUGCUGCAAACAGUACGUACUCUAUGUACCUAUUACGUGUAUUGAAACGCCCAUGUGAUAUGAGCAUUAAAGUGUUGUAUUUGAAAUUUAGACUCUAUAUAUCGUCGCCUUAUAGAAAAAACCACGUAUACGCCUUUUUGAAAAAUCACUCUACAAUAAUUCAUGUCAAAAAAAGCAUUUGAAAGUGAUUUUUGACGUUUACUAGAUUUUCUCUAUCCCCUGUAGAAAAUCUAGUAAAAAGCAAUAUUGCAAUUUGACAUUUGUGCAUAUAUAAAAGUAAAUGCGCAUUGCAAACAAAUGUCAAAUAGCAAUAUUGCUUUUUUAGAUGAAUUGCUUCGAUGUGGCCUUUUUAACCCCCCAGAUAGCGAAUUGAAUUCAAUUAUUUUCUACCUACAAAAGUGAGUGACAACAUUGUACAAUAGAUUGAAAUAAUAGACAAAGUAUCUUAUCUUAUUUACUUAUAUUUAUUCAAAGAAACAAUUAUAAAA